rnacentral:rRNA from 1 species
ACAUACGACCAUAGGAAGUGGAAAAUAGGGCUUCCCGUCCGCUCAGCCGUACUCAAGCCACUUGCCGGUCAGUUAGUAGUAUGGUGGGUGACCACAUGCGAAUCCUGACUGUUGUAUGUAAUC